UGGCAGUCGACCGCGCCGACAAGGAGAAUCUGCCGCCUGCCACCGCCGCCGCCGCCCGUCCUCAUGGCGUAGCAGCCGUCAGGAGCUGCAAGCUGAAGCGGCUCGGGAGGGCGCGGAGGCGGGUGCCGCUCAGGGACAUCACCAACCUCUUCGUUGCCGAGUCGGCGGUCGCCCAGUGGCAGCAGGCCCUGCUCCGGCAGCCGCGCGAGGAGUCGGCAGCGGCGCCGGCGGAGCUGGCCGUGAAGAACGGGCCUGCCGGCGGUGCGGCACUGAAGCCUGGCAGAUACUUUCUCCGGAAGGAGUUUAGAUAGCUACCUGCCUACCGAUUAUUUUACGGUGUCUGCCAGUUUGAUGUGUCUAAAUUGGAGCCAGUAGUUGCCAAGCCACAUUCCCCUGACAACCGUGCUCCAGCAAGAGAAUGCAAGGAUAUCAAGAUUGACCGAGUCUAUAAUGAUGCUUGCACUGGUGGUAAGACUGAAGACUUAAUUGCUGCUGCAAAGGUGUUCUCAGCUUUGGGCAAGAGGGUUUGGGUUCCCACUUUUCUGCUUGUCCCCGCGACGCAAAAGGUGAUACUUCGUAAUAAACUUAUAUGGAUACAAUCAUCUUCCAAUUUGUUACUGAAAAGAAUGCAGAAUCUUGUAGGUGCGGUUGGAUGUGUAUAGCCUUUCCAUACCAGGAUCUGGUGGCUAAAUAUCUAGAGGAUGGCAGUUUUUCAUAAUUCAGAUCAUGCCAAUAAUUUUACGGCCUAUUUUAUGUUGGCAUUUUUUUCUUCUAAAAAACGAAAAUUAACUAGGCCUAUGGGCAGAGCAAACGUAUCCUUGGAGGGCAAGCUUGGUGUCGUAUAGAAAGAAAAUAGUUCGCUCAAUCUCCCACCACGCUGGCAUGUCCAACCCCUACCGAACGACACGUUCGAUGGGAACUUCCUCUAGAUAUUACGGUCUUUUUUAAUAGUGUUUCAUAUAGUCUCAUAGCAAUUUCACACUUUUUUGGUUUUCAAAACAUGGCAUUUUUUGAACUUACUAUGCACUAUUAUUUUUUACAUGGCAAAUUUAUUGAUGACAAUUUUUUGAAAAAAAAAGUGAAUUGGGCCUAGACGUUUUUUCCUGCACGUUAUAUAUUUUACUGGUCCAUGGGUCGCUGGUAACUCCCCCUAAAUGAACCGUAUUUCCUAUUUGGUGCCUUCAGCGCCGUUCACUUGCAAUUCGUUAAUUAGCGUUGAAGGCGCUCUUACCUGGGCUGGCCCAUCUAUGGGUGCCAUGGGAGAGACCUCUUCCUGGUUUGGGAAGCUUCCCAGCCGGUUUCUUUCUUUCUUUCUUUUUUGAUUUUGUUUUUUCCUGGACCGGUUUUCUUUAGUUUUUCUUUAUUUUUUCUUUUUCCUUUUUCCUUUUUCCAUUAUUCUUUUUAUUUUUAUUUUUUAUUUUAAAAAAUGCAUGAUUCGUUUUCAGAUUCGAUGAAAUAUUUUUAAAUUCGAUGAACUUUUUUUUCAAGUUCAUGAUCUUUUUUCAAAAUUUAGGAACUAUUUUUCAGAUUGACAAAAUAUUUUUUAAAAAAAUUGUGAACUUUAAAAAAAUUAAUGAACUUUUUCAAAUUUGUGAAAUUUAUUUUCAAAUCGAUGAUCUUUUUUCAAAUUGAGGAACUUUCCUAAAAUGUAUGAACUUUUUUUUGAAUCGAUGCACUUUUCAAAUCGAUGUGUCUUAUUAUGAGAAAUAUGUUACUCAACGAGUAGCAGUUGUAACUGAGAAAGGUUUUGUUGUAUGCUUUUUCACUGGCGUUACCGACUUCUAUCAGGAGCAAACAUAACUGUUACAUAUCCACACAAAGGACAUUAUUCCAGAAUGAUACUGUACCUUAGUGCAUGAUUUGUUAGUUGUUGAUGUCGAACCGUGAAUACAUCAGAGUACCCAUUUUAUACGCUUGGACCUAUGCUUCACCAUCUUGAUCUCUCCAUUGAUUUUGCUGGUACAUACCAUCUUGUUGGAUCAGAGGAGGCGGUGAGGUCGAGGAUGUAGGGAGGCCAGUUGUUGUCCUUGAAGCUGAACGACGGACAACCCAUUCACCUUCCUUGCUUGAGAACUUAUGAUUUUUGUUGGAAACCAAUCGUAUCUUAUUGUUGAAAUUGGUAUAAGUGCAAGAGGUACCAAGGAGUGAGUGGGAGCUCUGAAUGUCGACAGAAAGGUGCCAAAGUUAACAGAGAAAUAGUUGCUCAUCAAUUAUGCCUCAAGUCUGUGUCUUUCGGAGCUUCGCUUAACAACAUCUCUAGCAGAUUCUGUAAAACGGGCCAUCCCGAAUAAUAACUGCUGAUAUA